CACGUGUUUCCCUAUCAUCUCAGCUUUCCCCUUUCUCUUCUCUCUUCUUUAGUUGACGCGCCUCUCUUCUGCCCACUACAUCUCAAAAAAACUCCACACUUAUUUCUUCCCUUGGUUCUCUCUCGAUGGGGUUUGCUAUCCAUCUGAGUCGGAUCUCCUCUCUGGUGGUGGUUGAUAUAUCUCUCUGGAUUACGAUGUAUAUGUGGUCGGGUGCGUUCUGCUUGUCUCUGCGCUUUGGGUAGUUGGAGUUCAAAGUGCUGGGGUGGUGAUAGGUAAGGGUUUACAGAGAUGAGAUCCCAUUUUUGGGAGUGAAUUCUGAGAGAAGAGAAUAGAUGUCUUGAUCUCUGAGCGUGGUCAUCUCUGGCGCUGUGUCUCUGAAACCCUAGGUCUUCAAAUUCGAUCUCCACAAUCUAGUUUCUCAAGUAGUCAAAGUCAGAAAUUGAAAAGGCGAGUUGAACAUAGCCGAUUAGCCGAUUCGGAUGUUGGUGGAAAAUGGUUGAAAUGGCAAAGUCUAAAUUUGAGUCGUUUAAACAUGUCAUGGAUUGGACUCCUGGAUUUCCAACAAAGGUGUUAGUCCUGGAACAGUUCCAGUGUACCAUAGCACAAACUUGAAAUUGUUGGAUAAGAGGAUCAAGAUAGCUGAGUUGGUGUUAAGGUUUAUGAUUCUUGGUCUUGGAGUUGUUGCAGCUGUUCUUAUUGGAACUGAUUCACUGAUGUUAAGGCUUUGGUAUUCUUUGUAGUUGCUAAUGGUUUGGGCUGCUGGAUACUCUUUGAUUCAAGGACUUCGUUGUGUUGUGAGUUUGGUUAGGGAAAGUGUUCUCUUCAACAAGCCCUUAGCUUGGGCCAUUUUCUCUGCUGAUUAGAAUGACCCAAAUAAAACUCCAGCACUAUUACGCCACAAGAGAGGAUGUAACUGCAAGAAAUCAUUCUGCCAAAAGAAAUAUUGUAAAUGCUUUCAGCUGGUGUUGGAUGUUCCAUAAACUGUAGAUGUGACACGUGUAAGAGCACGUUUGGUAGAAAGGAUGGUUCUAAUUCUGUAGGAGUAGAAACCCAACCAGAAGUAGAAAUAGAGGCCUGUGGACUGUGGUAAAGAGUUUGUUGAAAAUGCAUAACAGAAAAUUGAAAUUCAGAACUCCCACAGAAUGUCUAGUUCAUUGAAUUUUCCGUUAGAGAGUAAGAUGUUUGGGACUCUUUGCUCUCAGCCACUUGAGCAUUCUCAAACUGUUUCACACCAUGAAACGACUGGAGGCAGAGGCAGAAGUGGAUAGGUCUCCAAUGACUUGGACCAAAACUACUACUCCAAAUGGGAAGAAAUUUUUAAUUGAUAGUCAAUAGUUAUUAGUUAGGUCUUUUUCCUUUUCAGUCAGAUUAGUAGUUUGUACCUUUAGGCAUAUAAAUGUCCUGGUUUAGUUAUAAGUAUUUUAGUUUUAGUGCGAUCUUUAGAUGUGUAUGAAAAAAUUAUAUUAUUUGAGCUGUAAUUAGUUUGCUUAGUUUUAUUUUACUCGAGUUAUUUCAGAAGAAAUUUUUUCGCUUUCAUAAUGGCAAUUGUGAGGUACUCAUCUUAAUCUCAAGUGAGCUGAGAAAGCUUGUGCCUUGGUUGCCAAAAUUCCAGGAAUGGUAGAAGCAUUGAAUUCAAAAAUUACAGAAUGGGAACAAGAGAUUGAGUUCAAAUAGGAUGAUAUAAGUACUCCCUCCUUAAUAUACUUGAUAUGUAUUCACUAAAAGAAGAAAAAAACUUGAUAUGCCGGUCUGCUCUCUAUGCUUGAAGAUUACACCAACGCCUGGCAAGAAAAAGAGCAAGAACCUCAUAAGCUGCGGGUCAGUGUAUAGGGUUCCAAGUCUGUCCUUCUGAUUCAUUGAUCUGAUAGUGGCGGUCAUGAAGAUCUUGGAUUAGAUAUCGGACGGUAGUAGGUGGAGACUAAUCUAAGGAAUAUGUUGUGCUCAGGAUUAGAAAAAGGAAAAGCCUCCCUUGAAGAGGUUGAGAAGGUCAUUGAAGCUCGAAUUUGAUGAAUCUGAUGAUGCUGAUCUUUUUAAGGAUGAAUCUGCAUCUGGUCAUGGGGUCAACUGACAUGAUUUUCUGUCAUUUAACUAGAGUUACGGAUCAAGACUUAUAUAAGGCAUUAGAUAUGGGUAGUGCAAAUAGUGUCCACCCUUUUUUGAUGUGUAAUGUGAAAUUUUUUGGUUGUGUUCAUGUAAUAGGAAUUGGUAUUUAAUAUUUGGUAUGUAAUGUUGUGUGUGUCUUAGGAUGUUUGAUGUUUUGUAUGUCCAUAUUUUGUAUUUUACUGGGCUUAUUGAUCAUGUAAUACAUCAAUUGUUAGGAU